GUUCCGGUAAGCCUAACUGGUAAGGCACGGGCUUGGAAAGCUCGGAGUAAUCGUUAAUAGCGGUGUACAGGUUCAAGUCCUGUUCGGAACGCCA
rnacentral:tRNA from 1 species